GGCAGCCAAGCGUUCAUAGCGA
rnacentral:snRNA from 1 species